rnacentral:rRNA from 1 species
UACGGAGGGUGCAAGCGUUGCUCGGAAUUAUUGGGCGUAAAGGGUAGGUAGGUGGUCUCAUUUGUCUAGGGUGAAAGCCUUGAGCUUAACUCAAGAAGUGCCCUAGAAACGGUGAGACUGGAGUCCUGGAGAGGGUCGUGGAAUUCCCGGUGUAGCGGUGAAAUGCGUAGAGAUCGGGAGGAACACCAGAGGCGAAAGCGGCGACCUGGACAGGUACUGACACUCAACUACGAAAGCGUGGGGAGCAAACAGGG